rnacentral:rRNA from 1 species
UGGGGAAUCUUGCGCAAUGGGCGAAAGCCUGACGCAGCAACGCCGCGUGGGGGAUGAAGGCUCUCGGGUUGUAAACCCCUUUCAGGAGGGACGAAAAUGACGGUACCUCCAGAAGAAGCCCCGGCCAACUACGUGCCAGCAGCCGCGGUAACACGUAGGGGGCGAGCGUUGUCCGGAUUUAUUGGGCGUAAAGAGCUCGUAGGCGGUUUGGCAAGUCGGGUGUGAAAUUUCGAGGCUCAACCUCGAAACGCCACUUGAUACUGCCAUGACUGGAGUCCGGUAGAGGAGUGCGGAAUUCCUGGUGUAGCGGUGAAAUGCGCAGAUAUCAGGAGGAACACCAACGGCGAAGGCAGCACUCUGGGCCGGUACUGACGCUGAGGAGCGAAAGCGUGGGGAGCAAACAGGAUUAGAUACCCGGGUAGUCCCUGAGCGGGCUGGCAAGGCGCAU